rnacentral:tRNA from 1 species
GAAGGUACAGCUCAGUGGUAGAGUGCAUGCUUAGCAUGCAUGAGACCCCAGGGUCAAUUCCCAGUACCUCCA